AGUUGGUAAGGUAAUGGCUUACCAAGGCUACGAUCUGUACGGUCUAAGAGGACGGUCGGUCACACUGACACUGAAUAACGGGUCAGACUCCUACGGGAGGCAGCAGUCGGGAAUUUUGGGCAAUGGGCGAAAGCCUGACCCAGCAACGCCGCGUGAAGGAUGAAGUAUUUCGGUAUGUAAACUUCGAAAGAAUGGGAAGAAUCAAUGACGGUACCAUUUAUAAGGUCCGGCUAACUACGUGCCAGCAGCCGCGGUAAUACGUAKGGACCAAGCGUUGUUCGGAUUUACUGGGCGUAAAGGGCGCGUAGGCGGCUUUGUCAAGUCACCUUGUGAAAUCUCUGGGCUUAACCCAGAACGGCCAAGUGAAACUGACUUGCUWGAGUGCAGAAGGGGCCAAAAAUUYUUUGGUGGUACCCGGAUGAAAAUG
rnacentral:rRNA from 1 species